CAUAACGACUCUCGGCAACGGAUAUCUCGGCUCUCGCAUCGAUGAAGAACGUAGCGAAAUGCGAUACUUGGUGUGAAUUGCAGAAUCCCGUGAACCAUCGAGUCUUUGAACGCAAGUUGCGCCCGAAGCCUCACGGCUGAGGGCACGCCUGCCUGGGCGUCACGCA
rnacentral:rRNA from 2 species